UACGUAGGUGGCAAGCGUUGUCCGGAAUUAUUGGGCGUAAGCGCGCGCAGGCGGUCCUUUAAGUCUGAUGUGAAAGCCCACGGCUCAACCGUGGAGGGUCAUUGGAAACUGGGGGACUUGAGUACAGAAGAGAAGAGUGGAAUUCCACGUGUAAGCGGUGAAAUGCGUAGAGAUGUGGAGGAACACCAGUGGCGAAGGCGACUCUUUGGUCUGUAACUGACGCUGAGGCGCGAAAGCGUGGGGAGCAAACAGG
rnacentral:rRNA from 1 species